rnacentral:lncRNA from 1 species
CAACAACCUAAAACUUAGAUUGGGCUUCCCAGAUGGCGCUUAGUGGUAAAGAACCUGCCUGCCAACACAGCAGACACAACAUACAUUCAGAACAGAGAGGAAAAGCCAACUCACCUUCAUAAUGUGCCAGGUGCUUUCCAAUGUCCUCAGGCAAUGCUCUCAACUCUUUUACAAGACAGAAAGGACUGAAUGCAUGAGGAGGCCUGAGGCCCAAGGAAGGAGAUUCCGUAAUUGUCCUGGGUUGCAUGCUGACUGUCCAGCCCUCAAAUCUCUCAACUGAGACUCAGAUCUGCUGACGCCCUGCAUUCUUCCAGCUGAUUGAUGGACUUCUUUCUAAUGGAGCUGCCGAAAGAACAAAAUGCACAAAUUGUGCUUUGCCCCUAUUAUGACUCUGGUCCAAUAGAAUUCUUGUCAACUACCGUAUUUUACUUCUGCCCCUGCUCUCUGAAAUGCAUGAUUUAUUUUAUAAUUAAU